UACGUAGGGGGCAAGCGUUGUCCGGAAUUAUUGGGCGUAAAGGGCUCGUAGGCGGUCUGUUGCGUCGGGAGUGAAAACUCAGGGCUUAACCCUGAGCCUGCUUCCGAUACGGGCAGACUAGAGGUAUGCAGGGGAGAACGGAAUUCCUGGUGUAGCGGUGAAAUGCGCAGAUAUCAGGAGGAACACCGGUGGCGAAGGCGGUUCUCUGGGCAUUACCUGACGCUGAGGAGCGAAAGUGUGGGGAGCGAACAGG
rnacentral:rRNA from 1 species